rnacentral:piRNA from 1 species
UGAAGAUUCUGAUGACCUGGGUAGAAGGUA